rnacentral:lncRNA from 1 species
UCACUGUGGCAUGGUUAACAUCAGGGUACUGAGAGGAUGAGUGGUUACCCCAUAUAAUAACAUUCUUCACAUCACUGACUUGGACAUUAAGUCUCUCAGAAAUUUGGCCAAGAGCCCUGUUGUGGUCCAGACGGGUCAAGCAGGUAACAUUCCUCUCAGGAAUAGAUGGAGCAAAUUCUUUCAAGAUAAGAGCAUUGGUAUUUGCUGGGUUGGCAACAACCAGAACCUGCAGAGCACAGACAAGGUAUUGCAAAUCAACAAGUAGAAACAGCAAAGAAACAUAAUGAAGCAGACAUGGCUCCUCCGAAAAACAAGGGUACAUAAUAACUGAAAUUUAGAUAGAUCAUUUGAGUUCACAUUUUAUUGAGGAUACUUGUCAAGGUACAAGGCAAUGCAGAUAAUCACGGUCAUUCAAGCUCAUAAAAUGAUAAAAUUGGGUAAGCCCAUUUCAUAGUGGCCGUAGAGUGCACUAUGAAUGUAUCACCACCCAGAUGAUUAAAUCACAUGACAACAAUGUAUCCUAAAUGACUAGACUCAGUGCGUGGUGACGAUGGAUCACAUCAAUAAUGAGCCCUCUUCCACCUAUAUGUAGUUUGAGAUUAAGUUUCUUUUGAAGUGGACAACCUACAUGACUGAACCCAGUGUGAUAGAUGACAGUGCAUCACCACCUUGACAAAAUUAAGUGCAUGAUGACAGCUACUAUAAAAAUUGAAGGGUGUAUAUGAUGCAGAUGCAGCCUAUACCUUGCAGUUGGGGGCCGCAUGAGCUUCGAGGGCAGAUGCUUGACCUUUGUAGAUUGAAACAUUUUUCGACAUAACAUCUUUCCUCUCCAUUCCCUCCUUCCUGGGGAAUCCACCAACCAUGACCGCAACAUUCACACCAGUGCAGGCCUCCACAACAUCAGUUGUCGCGACGACUCC